rnacentral:rRNA from 1 species
CAGUCGCCGCGGUAAUACGAAGGGUGCAAGCGUUAAUCGGAAUUACUGGGCGUAAAGCGCGCGUAGGUGGUUUGGUAAGAUGGAUGUGAAAUCCCCGGGCUCAACCUGGGAACUGCAUCCAUAACUGCCUGACUAGAGUACGGUAGAGGGUGGUGGAAUUUCCUGUGUAGCGGUGAAAUGCGUAGAUAUAGGAAGGAACACCAGUGGCGAAGGCGACCACCUGGACUGAUACUGACACUGAUGUGCGAAAGCGUGGGGAGCAAACAGGAUUAGAUACCCGUGUAGUCCCUGUCUCUUAUAC